rnacentral:lncRNA from 1 species
UACAUAUACUAAACAAAUGUAAACAAAACAACUUCAUAUUAAUACAAAUUUUAAUAUAAUUCCAAAACUUAUGCGAUUCCAUAUUUCUUGACUUUCAGGUUUGAUGUUCUUAAAAAAAAAGAAAAAACUGUAAGCUAUUAAAAAAUUAUAUAUUUACAGCCUGUACUUACGUCAAAUUGAUAACCUUAGAACAUUGAAAGGCUAGAAUUAGUAAACAACAACUUUGUUUGAGUCCAACAUGUGCACAGGGGCAAGAGGGUUGUUUUGUUUACAAACAUAUUUGCCGAUUCUCUGUUGUCAAGUCGACGCAAAUUUCCAACGGAGGAAAUUUUUAGCUAUAUUUUAACAACCAUUAUAACGUUAAUUUAACUUAUUUGUGUUAUAUUUUAUAGGAAAAUUUAAAAUAAAAAGUAUAAAUACUACAAUUAACCUAUUUUAAGAAUAAAUAUAAUAUCCUUAAGCAAAAAAAAACAAAAUUAUUAACAUUGUUAUCCCUAAAACUGCUUCUAAAAAAUUUGAAGCGACAACAUCGGAGCUUAAGCGUCUGAGCCAUACGCGUAGUGUCAUUUGUCAAACGGCUUUUUGUUUAUUUUCGGGAUUGGUGUAUUUUCUUUAAUUUUCGGUUUCAAAAGGAAAAAGGCCACAUUUUAGUGUUUUUUUAAAUUGCUAGGAUGGGAAAAACUUGUGUCGUUUGUGUCGCAUCAUGAUAAAAAGGUGAUUCAAGCCGAUCUUUUCACAAAUUGCCUAAUAUAUGCCCAAAGGGAACAAUGGAUUUCAUUAAUGGAAAUCAACAAAAUUAAACAGAACAUAUUUGUUUGUUCAGAUCACAUCCUUAGAAGUGAUUUCUUAUAUAAGGAAGAUAAUAUUAUCAGUAGCCAGACUUAGACCAAACAGAUUAAAAAAAUCAGCUCUACCUCAAAGGAUUUCUGAUGCACUGGUUAAAAACACAGCAGCUGAUAAUUCAGUUAAUUUACCAAGUGAUUUACCCUUCAAAGCUGCAGGAAUAGCUUUCCUGAAGAGUGCAAAAACUUCUUUAGCUUCCAAAAUGGUAUAUAGUACAAACAGUGAAGCUGAUAUAGACAAUAACUGCAUCUGAGAUUAAUAGUUCUACAGUAACCGUGGGGUCUAGGUCAACAAUUACUAUUUCUCAUGCAAGCCGUUUUUGUUUAACUGCUACAUAUUCCCUGACUCUGCCAAGGAAAAGGUAAAAAUACACUCAAAAUAGACUACUAGUUUUAUGCCAUGUAUCAUCCUAUUCUAUAUAUCUUAUUUAAAAGUGAUAUAGUAUUUUAUUGUGUUAUAUUUGUUUAAUUAAAUGCAAUUAAUUGGUAAUACUAUAUUUUUAUGUAUAUUAUUCUAGGGUAAAAUCAAAAUGAUAUCCUGAGGACCUAAGCACUGAUGAUUCCACCGUUUCAAAAGCUAAAUCACUUGUUACCAAAUUAUGGAAAAAAAAUAAAGAGCAAAAAAUUAAAAUUCGAAGAUUGCAAUAAACAAAUUUGCCCCAAAGAAAUUGAAUUAGAUGUCUCAAGUCAUUAUUAAAAUACUUAAGAAAUAAUAACAUGAUUUUUGAAAAAGCCCAACAUACUACAUAUUUUAUUUGACUUGUAAAAGUACUUGUUUGUAUAUUUUUACUAAUAAACUAUUUAAUCUAAUCUAUUGUACAUAGUCUUUA